UACGUAGGGACCAAGCGUUGUUCGGAUUUACUGGGCGUAAAGGGCGCGUAGGCGGCAUGACAAGUCACUUGUGAAAUCUCCGGGCUUAACUCGGAACGGCCAAGUGAAACUGUCAAGCUAGAGUGCAGAAGGGGCAAUCGGAAUUCUUGGUGUAGCGGUGAAAUGCGUAGAUAUCAAGAGGAACACCUGAGGUGAAGACGGGUUGCUGGGCUGACACUGACGCUGAGGCGCGAAAGCUAGGGGAGCAAACAGG
rnacentral:rRNA from 1 species